rnacentral:rRNA from 1 species
GAUUUAAAGUCUGGCCUGCCCAAUGAUGAUUUUUAAAUGGCUGCAGUAUUUUGACUGUACAAAGGUAGCAUAAUCAUUAGUUUCUUAAUUAGAAGCUGGAAUGAAUGGUUUGAUGAAAAAUUUACUGUCUCAGUUUAAUUGUUAUAGAAUUUUAUUUUUGAGUGAAAAAGCUUAAAUUUUUUAGGAAGACGAGAAGACCCUAUAGAGUUUGAUUUAUUGGAAAUUGUAAAUUUUAUGAUUUUAGUAUUUUUAAUUUUUUAAUGAAUUUUGUUGGGGUGAUGGGAAAAUUUUUCUAACUUUUUCUAAUUUUUACACUAAUUGGUGAAUUUAUGAUCCUUUUUUAGAUUAUAAGAUUAAAUUACCUUAGGGAUAACAGCGUAAUUUUUUUUGAAAGUUCUUAUUGAUAAAGAAGUUUGCGACCUCGAUGUUGGAUUAAAGUUUAUUUUUGGUGUAGAAGCUGAAAGGAUUAGGUCUG